GGGGAUGUAGCUCAGAUGGUAGAGCGCUCGCUUAGCAUGCGAGAGGUACGGGGAAAGAUACCCCGCAUCUCCA
rfam:Ipomoea nil DNA, scaffold: scaffold1450, cultivar: Tokyo-kokei standard.